AUUGAACGCUGGCGGAAUGCUUUACACAUGCAAGCCGAGCGGCAGCGCGGGGCAACCUGGCGGCGAGCGGCGAACGGGUGAGUAAUGCAUCGGAACGUACCCCGUCGUGGGGAAUAACUACCCGAAAGGGUAGCUAAUACCGCAUACGACCUGAGGGUGAAAGCGGGGGGACCGAAAGGCCUCGCGCGAUGGGAGCGGCCGAUGCCGGAUUAGCUAGUUGGUAGGGUAAAGGCCUACCAAGGGCGACGAUCCGUAGCGUGGUCUGAGAGGACGACCAGCCACACUGGAACUGAGACACGGUCCAGACUCCUACGGGAGGCAGCAGUGGGGAAUUUUGGACAAUGGGCGAAAGCCUGAUCCAGCCAUUCCGCGUGAGUGAAGAAGGCCU
rnacentral:rRNA from 1 species